UGCAUGUCUAAGUAUAAGCAAUUUAUACAGUGAAACUGCGAAUGGCUCAUUAAAUCAGUUAUCGUUUAUUUGAUAGUACCUUUACUACUUGGAUAACCGUGGUAAUUCUAGAGCUAAUACAUGCUAAAAAUCCCGACUGUUUGGAAGGGAUGUAUUUAUUAGAUAAAAAAUCAAUGCUUUUCGGAGCUCUUUGAUGAUUCAUAAUAACUUUUCGAAUCGCAUGGCCUUGUGCUGGCGAUGGUUCAUUCAAAUUUCUGCCCUAUCAACUUUCGAUGGUAGGAUAGUGGCCUACCAUGGUUUCAACGGGUAACGGGGAAUAAGGGUUCGAUUCCGGAGAGGGAGCCUGAGAAACGGCUACCACAUCCAAGGAAGGCAGCAGGCGCGCAAAUUACCCAAUCCCGACACGGGGAGGUAGUGACAAUAAAUAACGAUACAGGGCCCUUUCGGGUCUUGUAAUUGGAAUGAGUACAAUGUAAAUACCUUAACGAGGAACAAUUGGAGGGCAAGUCUGGUGCCAGCAGCCGCGGUAAUUCCAGCUCCAAUAGCGUAUAUUAAAGUUGUUGCAGUUACAAAAGCUCGUAGUUGAACCUUGGGCUUGGUUGGCCGGUCCGCCUUUUUGGCGAGUACUGGACCCAACCGAGCCUUUCCUUCUGGCUAACCUUUCGCCCUUGUGGUGUUAGGCGAACCAGGACUUUUACUUUGAAAAAAUUAGAGUGUUCAAAGCAGGCCUUUGCUCGAAUAUAUUAGCAUGGAAUAAUAGAAUAGGACGUUAUGGUUCUAUUUUGUUGGUUUCUAGGACCAUCGUAAUGAUUAAUAGGGACGGUCGGGGGCAUCAGUAUUCAGUUGUCAGAGGUGAAAUUCUUGGAUUUACUGAAGACUAACUACUGCGAAAGCAUUUGCCAAGGACGUUUUCAUUAAUCAAGAACGAAAGUUAGGGGAUCGAAGAUGAUCAGAUACACGUCGUAGUCUUAACCAUAAACUAUGCCGACUAGGGAUCGGGUGUUGUUCUUUUUUUGACGCACUCGGCACCUUACGAGA
rnacentral:rRNA from 1 species